GGCAGUCUUUCCAUGACCUCUCUUUUUCGAGCCCCUGGCAGGCAGCAAACCUCUCUGGGCAAGAGGUCAGGUCGGCAGAUAGGUGCCUCUGUCCCCUGCCGCAGGCAGUCACCCACAACAAUCACUGGCCGCUUCUUCCGGGGGUUCCCGCACGGCACAGGGUCUGCCCGGCCAGUUGCCUCCCUUGGAGCCAUGCCGAGCUCCUCCUCAGCUUGGAGGGCACCAAACCUGUUCCUCAAAGGCAAGUCUUGAGGAGGAGCAAGAGCCUUUCUCCUUCUAUGAGAGGUCACCAGUUUGCAGCCUAUUCAGCAUUCAACAAUGUUACCUAAAGAGUAUCAAAAUGCAGAAGACGUCGGUCCUUACUCUUGGCUCUUUUCAUUUCAAACAUUUCUCAAAAUUCUAUCUGGGAUUUCAUUUAAGUGUAAAACCAGCAUUUUACAGUUUGCAUUUUCAUAUCCUGAUAGUGCACAUACAAAGGUGACCAACAUUUUCUCUAAGGUUAUUGACAUCUGUGUGUGUUUGCUCUUUGUAUCAGUUUUUUCAAGGAUCAAUUCAGCAGGAUGUUAUCGAGGGCCAGAUUUUACAGCAGUCAUAAACCUUCAGGAACUAGGUUAAAGCAGAAAUAGUAUCACACCCCUAAGCACAGUAUCACUAUAUUACUGGUAAUAUUAGUUCUCAAAAUGUCAAGAGAUAAAGUGCAACUGGCAAGACUGCACAGCACAGCGUCAACAAAAUCUGUUGGACAGUUCAUAGGAGCAAGGCACGGUCCGAGGAGAACCGGCUAUGUAAAGCAGCAAGGUCAAAGCAGAGUUUGUGUCAAAUAAGCUACCCAACUUUAAGGCAAAAGUGGGAAAUCACCUAUUCUAACAACAGCCUCACAGUGUGACACUAAGAAGUGUCUUCCUAAAGCGAUAUCAUAUAUGAAGUUCUAAUAUGUUACAAUAUGUUCUAAUAUGUUACAAGGAUAUUGUACAAAAUUAUAACUAUGUGGCUAUUAACUGGUAUAUACUAUCUUCUCUCAAAAAAGAAAAGAUGGCAUUUUAGAUUUCACGGAAGAUCUAUUUUUAAAUAGAAACUUAAAUGCCAUUUGUUGAAUUCUGAUAUAACAUGACAAUGUUUAUAACAUCACUCCCACUUGCUUUGCUACUCUAUAGUAAAACUUCCUUCAAGUAUUGCAGGAAAACGUAUCUAACAGACACCACUUCUAAAUAAAAGCUGUUCAAAGGAAGAGGUCUGUCA
rnacentral:lncRNA from 1 species